GCCGAGGUGGUGAAAUUGGCAGACACGCAUGCCUUAGGAGCAUGUGGGAAUAAUAUCCCUUGCAGGUUCAAGUCCUGUCCUCGGCA
rfam:Candidate division WS6 bacterium GW2011_GWF2_39_15 TT34_C0001, whole genome shotgun sequence.